rnacentral:rRNA from 1 species
AACGAACGCUGGCGGCAUGCCUAACACAUGCAAGUCGAACGAGACCUUCGGGUCUAGUGGCGCACGGUUGCGUAACGCGGGGGAACCUGCCCUUAGGUUCGGAAUAACUCCCCGAAAGGGGUGCUAAUACCGGAUAAUGUCUUCUGACCAAAGAUUUAUCGCCUUUGGGUGUGUCCGCGUUGGAUUGGCUAGUUGGUAGGGUAAAAGCCUAUCAAGGCGACGAUCCAUAGCUGGUCUGAGAGGAUGAUCAGCGACACUGAUAGUGAGACACGGCCCAGAAUCCUACGGGAGGCAGCAGUGGGGAAUAUUGGACAGUGGGCGAAAGCCUGAUCCAGCACUGCCGCGUGAGUGAUGAAGGCCUUAGGGUUGUAAAGCUCUUUUACCCGGGAUGAUAAUGACAGUACCGGGAGAAUAAGCUCCGGCUAACUACGUG